CUGGUACUCCGCGGGGAAGCGCGUGCCAAGCGGGGACGCGCGUGCGAUCCUCGCGUGUGGGUGACACGCGGUGCCCGAGUCCCUGGGAGGGGCGAGGCGGGGCAAGCAGGGUCACUUUUCCUUGCACUGCCUUUGUCCUGCGGGUGCGCGUCCCGCCCAUGUGCAACCGGUUGGGGUUACAAAAUGAGCUCCUGCCCCCCCCCCACGCGCGCGCACUCACACGUGCAGACAUGCACGCGGAUACGCGCGCGCACACGCCCCGGAUUCCGCGGCGGGAUCACGCGAGGAUUCUCGGUUCGUGGCCUUGUCUGCUGCUCCCUGCGCUCCCUUCCGCCACGCAGAUCCCACCGCAUCCGCGGCGACCGAUGCUGGGCGCUCGCUAGCUGGGUUCGCAUCAUGGGCAGCGGCAACUCCUCCGGCCUCGGCAGCGAAGGCAGCUGGGCUUCCCAGCUCCACGGCGGCGCCAGGGGUCCCUUCUGCCCCUGGCACCCACCGGGCAAGUCCUUGGAGAAAGCGGUCACCAACCCACCACGAAAGGCUUCCUAGCAAAAGAAAAACCCCGGGACUGCUGGUGAAGGAGAGUGGGUGUAAGGGCCCAGCUAAGCAACCUCGGGGACCCCAGCUGAGCUCAGGAGAAGCUGUGGGACCCUGGCUCUGGAGGGCGCCCUGGCCUGGCGGGUUGGGGUUCCCGGGCCUGGCAGUGGAGAAGGUGCCCGCUGCAGGCAGCCAAGAAGCCACGGGGCCAAAAAGGAAGCUGCCCGGUGGGCUCCCAUAGGCUGGAUGGAGGCGACUUGUCUUUUUAAGUGGCUCCUCGUGCUGUGUAAUUGUCCAGCUCUUCGGAUCCCUCUGCAGGUGUAGACGCGUCUUCCGGAGCGUGCUGCGUGUGUAGACUCGGGUUUCUGCGGAAGGCCCAUGUCUUGAACCCAGCCACCGAGGAGUAACUAGUUGUCAUGUAAAUGCGCUGGCCUCCCGCUGUCAGGGAGCCCUGCCGAGCCUCUCAUUUGUAACCGAGGGAUUGGGACCUUGUCCUCCCUCCCUCUCAUGGGAACAAGAAAUGGAAGCCCCCAAAGGGUCCCUAGAGCCUCGCACGCUGCCGCCCCUCCUCUCCGCAGCCUUUCUGUCUCUCUUGGCGCCCAACAGGGCGCUCCCUACUGCAAAGCCCAGUGCAGCUCCUGGGCUGAGGGCUCCGCGGUGCAAAGGAUGCAAUCAGGAGGGAACUGGAGAGAUCACAGCAAAAGGCACCGCGGUUCAAAGCAAGGAGAGAAUUUUACAAAAGAGCGGGAGAUCGCCUCUGCGUCGUGCUGCCUGAAGAGGGCGCAGUCCACCCCCCCCACCCCCCAAGGUGCGGGAGACACCCAGGAACCCGGAACUUCCUUCUGCGGACCUCAGUUCAUCCAUCGCUGGAGGCGGUCUUGGCCAGUCAGCCACCCAAACCCAGCUGACAAACAGCCCAGAUGCUCUCCUGAGAUCCCUAGGGGACAUCGGAGGAGGCGGAUCCCCUCAAAGGCUGUUGCUGGACUCCCCGAGGACGCGGACACAGGCACAGGGAGCCCAUCAGGGAGAUGCCAAGCGAGGAGUCCCGGAGAGUGGGGAGCUGCCCUGCCCCAGGCACCCGGGGCCACCCCAGCCUCUGUCAUUGGUGCUCAAGUUCCAGACGCUCCGUGGAGGACAAUGUCCGGCCACCCGUUCCACAGUCUGUGCACAAAGAUAAAGCCUCCUUCAGUGAAGAACAUCCACAGACCCGUGCUUUAUUGGCCCCAUUUGACUCAUGAGGACCUCGGGACUCACACAUUUUGUCUUUAGCUCACUUCUGUACUGAUGGGAAUGAUGACGGCAGGGAGACGGACGCCCAAGGGGUGAGACGGCUUCUUCACGGUCAUCCAGCUGGGACCGGGUGGAACUCCAACAGAACCUAGGUGAUCCAGCCUCAAAGCCUGUGUUCACAGCCAUCACCAGGCCGGUCUGUGUCCAGGCUGGUCUGUGUCCAGGCUGGUCUGUGUCCAGGUGUGUCUGUUCCUUGCACCAGGUAUCUGGGUGACCUGCAUCAGUCUCACUUGCUAGGUCACUUUGGUGCCUGGUGACGCUUGCUGUCUCCGCUCUUUGAAGAAGGCACUGAAGAAUGGAUGCCCCGUCACUGCCGCUGGGCUGUGCAGACAAGUGGAGCUCGCAGCCACCGUGCUGCUCAGCGCCUCUGCUUCAGCUCAGCCUCUAUGGCGUUUAACAUCCCUGGAGGGAGACAUGGGCAUGGCUCCUCUGGGCAAGGGGCCUGGAGCAGGUGACUGCGGCCCCUGAGGAUGACUGGCAGACAGAUACUCAGAUGCCCAUGCCUGGUCCUCCUCUUGUUUCCCAAGUGGUGCCUGCCCACGCUUCUCACCUUUGUGAGCAGAACCCAGAGAUUUCACCCUCCUGGUUGGGCUCAGGGUCAGGAAAUGGUGCUGUACCAUAGGACCUGGGCGAAUAAAGCUUCAGAUUAGAUUGGUA